AAACAGACAGGUUUGGUCCUAACCUUUCUAUUAACUCUUAGCAAGAUUAUGCAUGCAAGCAUCCUCGUCCCCGUGAAAACACCCUCUAAAUCACCACAGUCAAAAGGAGUAAGUAUCAAUCAUGCACAACGCAGCUCAAAACACUUUGCUCAGCCACAUCCCCACGGGAGACAGCAGUGACAAACCUUUAGCAAUAAACAAAAGUUUAACUAAGCUAUGCUACAUUCAGGGUUGGUUAAUUUUGUGCCAGCCACCGCGGCCAUACCCAAGCUAAUAGAGACUGGCGUAAAGAGUGUUUAGAUCUAUUCUAAUAAAGCCAAACUCCAUCUAAGUUGUAAAAAACCCUAGCUGAUGUAAAAUAAACUACGAAAGUGGCUUUAAAAUUUCUGAACACACAAUAGCUAAGGCUCAAACUGGGAUUAGAUACCCCACUAUGCUUAGCCUUAAACCUCAAUAGUUAAAACAUCAAAACUACUCGCCAGAAUACUACAAGCAACAGCUUAAAACUCAAAGGACUUAGCAGUGCUUCACAUCCCUCUAGAGGAGCCUGUUCUAUAAUUGAUAAACCCCAAUUCACCUCACCAUCUCUUGCUCAACCUAUAUAUGGCCAUCCUCAGCAAACCCUAAUAAAGGCCACAAAGUAAGCAUAAAUGCCCCCGCAAAAACGUUAGGUCAAGGUGUAGCUUAUGAGAUGGUAAGAAAUGGGCUACAUUUUCUACCUCAGAAAACCCCAUGAUGACUCUUACGAAACCUAAGAGCUCAAGGAGGAUUUAGCAGUAAAUUAAGAAUAGAGUGCUUAAUUGAAUGAGGCCAUAAAGCAUGCACACACCCCCUGUCACCCUCCUCAAGUAUAUUUAAGGAUCAACUUAACUAAACACCACCUCAUAUUUAUAUAGAGGAGAUAAGUCGUAACACGGUAAGUGUGCUGGAAAGUGCACUUGGAUAAACCAAGGC
rnacentral:ncRNA from 1 species